AUUAGCUCACCUGGCCCGAAGGGCCAAGUGAGCUUUUCUCAUCACUUUGCGUCCGUCGUCGUCGUCGUCCGGCGUCGUCUGUUAACUUUUACAAAAAUCUUCUCCUCUGAAACUACUGGGUCAAAUUUAACCAAACUUGGUCACAAUCAUCAUUGGGGUAUCUAGUUUAAAAAAUGUGUCUGGUGAUCCGGUCAACCAACCAAGAUGGCCGCCAUGGCUAAAAAUAGAACAUAGGGGGAAAAUGUAGAUUUUGGCUUAUAUCUCUGAAACCAAAGCAUUAAGAGCAAAUCUGACAUGGGGUAAAAUUGUUUAUCAGGUCAAGAUCUAUCUGCCCUGAAAUUUUCAGAUGAAUCUGACAACCCGUUGUUGGGUUGCUGCCCCUGAAUUGGUAAUUUUAAGGAAAUUUUGCCGUUUUUGGUUAUUAUCUUGAAUAUUAUUAUAGAUAGAGAUAAACUGUAAACAGCAAUAAUGUUCAGCAGAGUAAGAUCUACAAUUAAGUCAACUUGACCAAAAUGGUCAGUUGACCCCUUAAGGAGUUAUUGCCCUUUAUAAUCAAUUUUUAACCAUUUUUCGUAAAUUUUUGUAAUCUUUUACUAAAAUCUUCUCCUCUGAAACUACUUAGACAAAUUUAACCAAACUUGUCCACAAUCAUCAUUAGGGUAUAUAGUUUAAAAAAUGUGUCCGAUGACCCCGCCCACGAACCAAGAUGGCCGACAUGGCUAAAAAAUAGUACAUAGGGUAAAAUGCAGUUUUUGGCUCAUAUCUCUGAAACCAAAGCAUUUAGAGCAAAUCUGACAUGGGGUAAAAUUGUUUAUCAGGUCAAGAUCUAUCUGCCCUGAAAUUUUCAGACCAAUCAGGCAACACGUUGUUGGGUUGCUGCCCCUGAAUUGGUAAUUUUAAGAAAAUUUUGCAGCUUUUGGUUAUUAUCUUGAAUAUUAUUAUAGAUAGAGAUAAACUGUAAACAGCAAUAAUGUACAGCAAAGUAAGAUCUACAAAUAAGUCAACAUGACCAAAAUUGUCAAUUGACCCCUUAAGGAGUUAUUGCCCUUUAUAGUCAAUUUUUUACAAUUUUUUCAUAAAUUUUGUAAAUUUUUGUAAAUUUUUACAAAAUAUUUUCCACUGUAACUACUGGGCCAAGUUCAUUAUAGAUAGAGAUAAUUGUAAGCAGCAAGAAUGUUCAGUAAAGUAAGAUCUACAAACACAUCACCAUCACCAAAACACAAUUUUGUCAUGAAUCCAUCUUUGUCCUUUGUUUAAUAUGCACAUAUACCAAGGUGAGCGACACAGGCUCUUUAGAGCCUCUAGUUUAG